AUGAGCUUGAAUGGCGGCGCUGGUCCAUGGCAGCGCUGGUGGUCCUGCAGUGAGGCCUCGGGCGCCAUGGCGGCGGGAGGAGGCAGCUUCGGCCUGAAUUGGACGACGGGGCGAGCAGCAAAGCAGCCUCGGGUUCAGGUGUUGGCCGCAGUCAGGCGAUCAAUGGGCACGGCGGCAAGAAUGAGCAGACAGGGCGGCGUGGAACUUGGCGGGGCGGCGGAGCCGAGGCCUUGGGAGACGGCAGAGGACUUGAAGGAGCAGGCGGGGCUUGGGGCAGCGCUUGGGCUGCGGCACGAAGACGACGGCGGCGACGCAUACGGGCUCCUGCUCCUGCGAGAUGCUGGCUCCGCGGAAGGCAGCUGGCUACGGCCAGAGGAAGGAGGAGGUCAUUGGGCGGCAGUGGAGGCACUGGUGGUGGUGAGAGGAUGGGGUCGAGGAUGA
rnacentral:rRNA from 1 species